UUCCUUCAUUCCACCAUUCCCUUAUUCCUUCAUUCCAUCAAUCAGUCAAUUUUUCAAUUUUCGUUCGUGCGGAGGCAAAAUCCGCGUCUCCCGUUUGUUUAAAUAUAAUCUGAGUGUUUCGUGCAUUAUGCUGUUAACAACCUUAGGACAAUUACAAAUUUUUUUCUCUACCGCGCGUAUUUGUGUAAUUUAACUUUUUCAACUAAAAUCGAAGUUUGGAAGUGAAAAUUCUCAGCGCCGCCGGCUGCGUCUCUCGAAAUUUGCGUCGUUUCGCGCGGUGCUUUGGUUUUGUUUAUAUUUUUCACGCGUAUCGUCAAUCCGGCUGGGAAAUGCUCCACAUAAAUGUUUAUUAAAUAAUAUUCAUAAAUUUACAAGAAAUUGAGAAAUCCUCUUGUCCGUUCGUGUGUGUGUUUGUCUGUGGCAUCUGUUUACGAGCAUCGUCCACAAUUAGCGGAGCCAUCGGUGGAAGUGGGCAAGGAGGAGGAGCCAAGGAGCCGCCCAGCAACAACCAAUGGACCAUGUGGAUGCCGGUGCUGGAAUACUCGUACAACAGACACAUAGCCAAGAUACCAAAUUGUAAAAUGAGGCGAAUGACGCUCAAAGCGGCAUCGAUGCGAAUGCUACUGCCAUUGCUGCUCCUUCAACUGUUGCUGCUCCCCUGCCAGGCGGUGGAUCCAGCGGCCAGUGGUGUUGGAGCUACUGGCGGAGUCGGUGCUGCCGCUGGUGCUGGUGCUGUGGCAGGCAGCAACAGCCUCAGUAGUGGACCAGCGGGUGGCACACUGAGUGCCAAUCUCACGGAAUUGGGCAGUCCCGGUGUGUAUAAUUCGACAAAUGGAUAUAAUGCUAAUUGCAAUAUAUGUGGUAUAUGGCGUAUAUGUAACUGACCCCAGUCCCCACUCCCCAUCCCCCUUGACGACGCCGCCAUUUUGGCAUUUGUGUUUGUGUAUUUCCUUGUGCGCAUUUCCGGUUUCCGUUUCCGCUUGGCAAGAGCAGCAGGGAAUGGGUUGUGCUGGUGGCAAAAACUAUUAGCCACUUGGCGCUAAGUAACCACGCCCACGACCCUUUGGCAAACCCCUGCAACCCCCCGCAUCCAUUCACACAGAAGCAAAACACUAAGCAUCAAUUAACCCAAUUUUCAGAAUCCAUUUUCACCUGGCCAUGGAGCUGUGGACAUGGCUCUUUGGCUCUCUCGCUGAGUAUUUUCCCAGCCGCACUUCUGUGCGGGCUUAAGUGUGCGUGUUUGCAGUUCCUUCCAGCUCUGUGUAUAUAUGUAUAUAAUUUUUAGAGAGUUUUUCUCUCUGCCACCAAUCCCCAAGUGGCGACGUCGAAAGCAACUCCCAAUUCCCCAUCCCAAGGCCCCUCCCCUUUAAUCCUGGCUCUUUUUGCCAGCAUUUUCUUCUUCUCCAAACUCUUUCCACAGGCGUUCGUGCAUUUGUUGUAGUUUGGUUUGGUUUUGGUUUCUGGAUGUGGACUUCAACGUUGGAGCAGCAGCAGGAGCGGCAGCAGCAGUCGCAGCAAAUCAUAAUUAAUCCAUUGAUUUUGCAGCAAUUUUUUUGCAGCAUUUUGCAGCUUCAAUAAUUCACACAAAUCAUUUCCAGCCAUAAAUAUAAAUUCCUUUUACAGCAUUUAACAAUGAAUUUUUCAGCAAACAAGAGACGUUUUUUUGCGUCCAGUUUUUGGCCCUGGAAUACAUAUUACUGAUCCAAUUACAAAUUGAUGAGCAGACGCCACAGAACUGGUACGACAGUUUGUCAGCUACAACGGGCAGCGGGGGGUCAGAAACAGCUGGAGAUGCAGAUGUCCCGGAUUGCAUAUCUUUGAAGAAGUGACAACCCUUGAGAUGAAUUUACGACUGCUGGCCAGAGGAGCGGUCCACAUUUUCCCUCAUCAUCGUACGGCUGAAAGAAAAACGAAUUGUAUUAAUUGAUUUAAAUGCUAGUUCUAAGUGUGCGUUGUACAUAAAUCUACUAAUUAUGCAUAAACUAUUCGGUGAAGCCGCCCAUUCAAACGUGAUAAAACAUAAUUAAGCGUGUAAUUUAUUGCAAAUUUUAUUAUUAUCUGUGUACCGUAAAUCGAUGGUUUUUUUUUGUUAAUUUAGUUCCGUUUUAAAGUGUGAAUUUAUUACAUUGUCCAGCUAGAUUUAAACGUGUAAAACAUGGAUAAAAGCAUAAUGGAUGCAUUGUUAUUAUUUUAUAUGGCAAACAUUUGAAAUUCCAUAAAGUUAAAUAUAUUAUUGAGACACUUAAGCCGCAUCACUCUACACUUUGUUCACACAAGAUUUGUAUCGGCCAAUA